GCCGAAUAAGAAUGUUAUGCUCAAUUCCAAAAACAAUUUUUUGACGGUGACAAACUUUGUGCAAAAAUGAAAUACGGGUAUUGCUUUUUAUUAUAAUUAUUGUACAUUAAUCAUAUUUAAACCUCGCUCUCACCACUCAAAAAUAAAAAUGUUUUCUAAGAGAUUUUUACCAGCGAGCACGAAUGGCUUCAAAUAUGGCGGGGAAUUAUCGUUUCAGUCUCUAAGAAGAGUUCAAUGGUUUUAAUCAGCUUUCGUGGAAAUCGACUUUGAAUGUUUGUUUGAAAGUUGUGAUUGUUCGAUCUGCAUUGGUUAAGGAAACAAUUCAAUUUCUGAAAUGAACUUUCUGGAAAAACAAACAUUCAAAGUUUUAUCUGUCAAGAAAACUUGAAAAAGGUAGAUGGAAAACUAGCUAUAUAAUUAUACAAAUGUGUAAAGGGUCUGAAAACGAACGGCAAAUUAGUUCAAUAACUGAGCUAGGUAGUUUUAACCGAACGUGUAUUUUAGCGCUGUUAUAUUGUGGAACAAUUCCACCUGACAUGUAAGGCAUAACAUAUAUUUUAUUCGAUUUCUCGCAACUUUAGCGGGAAAAUAAAGUUACACUAUUGGUUGAAACAGUGAGCUCCAUAACUGUGUGCUCUGGCAGUAAAACACUGCUCAAGCAGUUAAGGUAAGAUUUUUGCAUAAUUGAGGGGUGUCAUUUGACUUACAGCCAGACCGAAAUACUUAUGUUGACCCGAAUGUCAGAACACGUUAUUUUAAUAGAUCUACUUGUAUUACCACAGCCCUGGCAAGAUUUUCUCGCUACUUUUAGUAGUCUUGUCGCAAAGACGCAGUCUCUUCAACUACCCUGUCAGAAUUUUACCAAAAAUUACCAAAGACUACGCGACGAAAACAAAAAGGUGCAGAAAGAUAUGGAACGUGUGUCUAUUGGCACUGUCAGUGUAAUGUUAAAGAAUUUACAAGAAUUUUGUACUAGAAAACAUAAUUCUUCUAUUCCUAAAAGGACUUAUGUAUCACAUAAACAUUAAUGGUUAGCAAGGAAGAUCGCUGUCUGUGUGGAGUGCAUCGAAAGAGUUCCAAUAGUUUUUAACAACUUACUGGUAUACCGAAGGAAAUAUCGUAAACGCUAGAACGAACAAAAACCAAAAGAGAGGGAAGCUUUUUCUGAAGGAAAGUAAGGUUGACUGUUUUCAAAUAGUAUCAAAAUAAAAUCCAAAAGCAAAGAAUAUCUAUUCUUUGUGGCUAAAAAAUAUUGCUCACAAAGGAGGCCUAAAAAAGGCUCAAAAAGUUAAAAAUUGUAUGAAAGAGUAACAAGUCAAGCCAAUUGGUCAAUACAUGAUUUUGGGAUUGAUUUUCGGGACGAACCAGAACUUUUAGCCUGAGUGUGAAGACUGAAAGGAAUCUAGAUAAAAAAUGUUUUCUUUAACACUGAUCGUCAGAUAAAGGUUCGCUUUGAGUUUUGUGUCCUCCUUACAAUUGCUAACGAAGACUAGUCAACUACAGACAAUAAGAUACACUGAUUUGGGGACACAUUUUUUGCCAAGGCGUGAAAUGUUGAAUGUACUUGCAAAGCAUGAUGGAAAAUCCAAGAAAAAAACAAGAGAAGAGCAUAUUGUAAAGGAACGCUCAGUAGAUUGUCCUAAAAUAGGACCAGAAUUUAAAGGGAAAAUACGGUAAAACUGUGCUAAGAUCCAGAGUCACAGAAUUAUGAAAGAACUUUGUGAAGAUUGAAGUAAAUCGUUGAAACUCAAAGGCAAAAAUAACUUCUUUAACACUGGUUGUCACAAAACAAUGAAUUUUGGAAACAGAACGCUACAUUGUUUUUUAUGGGAUGAACUGAUAUUUAUGGGCAUGUGAUGCACGUGAAACGAAUAAAGCAGGAGAAACACUUGCACGGAAGCACCAGUGAUCCAACCAACCGUACUACAUAUAUAGACGUAGGAAAAUGCAUUUGGACGUGCUAAAAUAAGAUACCCCGGCAUUUACGUCAACAUAAGUAAUUUUAAACGGAUGUGGGUAAUUUUUAACCCUCAAUCAUGCAAUCAUUCGAACUUUGGUCUGUUAUAAGCAGUUUUUUGAACGCAAGUGUGCAACUGGAGUAAAAGUAGGGACGUCGGAACUGCGGAAGAGGAGAAGAAGGAGUAGGUUGGACGGUUGCCCCUUCAACGGCAGGGCCAAAGUUUUCGUUAUAAUUUAAAGAAUUAUUUAUCAAUCUUAAUUAAAACUAUCAAUUUUGUUGCAAGUUAAAAAGAAGUAUUCAUUUAUUUCAUGUUAUUAAAUAUAUUCAACGACCUUUUCGGCUGGAAAAACGUAUGAAAAUGCGUGCAUGUCAGUUCAUCUUUGCAAAAACAUUUGAAAAAGCGGGAUAAAAAAGUGCCUUUGACAAGAACCUGCCACUUUAGUCAAUUACACGAAGGAAGUAUGAAGCCAAAGUGACAUCCAAUUCCUAAAAUGUUUGGCUUCAUACUCCGAUCUUAGUACAUUACUCCAGUAACAUAUUGAGCUCACUGAGUCAAAUCAAAGCAAUAAUAUGUUAAGCAAUAUAAAGAAUGAAAGUUACUUUUGAAACUGUCUAACCGAAUAAAACUCCUCACAAAAAAAUACAACCAAGAUAUUAAAUGUUCUGCCUUUUCCUCCAAAAAUGGGUUAAUUAAAAGAAAGAAUUCAACACAGCAAAUAUUAUUAAUAUACGGCUGGCGGAAAUACUUAUUCAAGUGCUUGAGUACUAAAUUAAAUAGGUACGUAGAAAGUUGUACAUAACUUGUUUUAUACUACUUAUAGUAAACGUAACAAUGGCCUAAUGUAAAUGAUGUACUUUAUACUGUAGUUUACGGCAACUGAACUGUUAUAAUAUUUCAUUUUCAAGC
rnacentral:lncRNA from 1 species